AGCAUUUGUUUUUCACAUGGGUGAUAUGGGUGUUUGAUAACUUUUUCAUUAAAUGAAAUUAUUUAAAAAGGGUGUUUUGUGUUUACUCAGGUUCUCUUUGUCUAAUAUUACAUGUCUACAGAUCUGAAACCAUUCAGUGUAACAAAUAUGCAGAAAUAUAGGAAAUCAGGAAGGGGCAAAUAGUUUUUCAUGACAAUGUAGAAUUAAGACUUCUGAUUGGUCAGGUUACAAAUGAAAAUAUUGAACAAGGUUUGUUCCUUGGCCAUAUGUUUGCAUUUAGAAUGCUUGCCUUUAUUAAACCCUCCUUUUUUUCUCUAGUCAGCUGGACCGUAGAUCACGCCUCCUUGUGUAUCACAUGACCUGGGAUAUUCUUCCUGUCAAUGGGGUGCGUCUGGAGGUGUGCUGUCAUUUAAGCUUUCUUUUUAAAAAAACACUAGUGAGGAGAAGCAAAAAACAAAUUAUGUAGAAAUGGAUGGGACACUAAAAGCAAUGCAAGUGAUUGCUAUUGUCCUGCAGUGUUCGACAUGUAGAGGUUCAUUGGGCGACUCGCACUCAGCGCAUUGCUUAACUGGCGAUAGUGUAGUGUUGAACUGUCUAUCUACGGCCGCAGGAAAGAGACAGGAAAAAAUUGAUGUUGAGUGGAAGAGGUUGGACCCGUCGGGUCAUGAGGUGACCGUGUUUAACUCCAUUGAGCCCGAGAAGAAUCGGAUCGGAGCCACUGUGGACGGGCUGGAGCACGGCGAUCCAUCUUUGCGCUUAGCCAAUGUGACCUUGGCCGAUGAAGGGAUCUACCUCUGCUCGUUCUUUUUAACACCCACAGAGUAUAAAGGAAAAGCCCGGCUGGAUGUAUCAGUGAGGCCGACCGUGGAACUUCCUGCCGAGCUCACUGUGACGGAGGGCGAAGAGAAGACUGUAGUCUGUAAGAUUAACGGGUUCUACCCGCGCCAGAUCUCCGUUUUAUGGCUAACCAGCGGCAGCUCGAGCCGCGAGACGGCUCACAUCUCCCGCGGUGUCUGCACGGCCGAAACGGAGAACAAUGGCGAUCGCACCUUCAGCGUAUCCAGCCGCAUCACCGUGACGGCCAACGCAACGGCGAAUAAUGGCGCAGAGUACGUCUGCAUGGUUAAGCACAGGGCGUAUGCUGAGCCUCACAACAGAAGCGUCAUACUGAGGGUUCAAGGUCGAUAUGACGUCACACGACUGAUAGCUGGCACCAUGGUCACCAGUACACUUCUGGUUCUGCUCGUCGUGGGCUCAAUAUUUAUUUACUGCCGAUAUUUUCAGAGAGUUCCUCCAAGUGUGUCGGAAAUCAUCAAGCCCUCUUUAAUAUUUGCUAGAGUGCCAACGGAGUUGAAGUGCAAUAUCACCAGUGACAGGCCAAGAGACAUCAAAGUUAGUUGGCUGAAGCUGAGUCCAGGGUUGGACAGUGACACUGCAGUGACCCGGAAAAGCUUCUCAGAGGCUUCCCCUUUGAAUGGGUGGUUAGACCUGAGUGACAAAGCUGUCUUAGACAGUGGCAACAUGCAUCUCACUUCCACGCUACGCAUCCAGCUGACCACCUACGAGGAUAAUACUAAAUAUCAAUGCCUUGUCCGUUACGGUGACAAAUCGAUCACGAGAGAGACCACCGUGAAUGUUAAAGCACAACCAUCCGUUCUUCAAAUCUCAAGCCUGCCUCAUAUUCCCGAAGUGGGGAAGUUGCUGGUUUUGUGUUGCCGCGUUGAGAAGUUCUACCCAAAGGACGUUCACCUGGAGUGGUCAAGGCAAGGAGAGCCAGUGGGGAACGUCACUCAGUUCGGACCCUUCCCCGACACAGACAACAAACACAGCGUCUGGGGAAAGACCGAGCUGAUGGUGGCCCAAGAAGACCACAAUACCAUGUUCACCUGCCGCGUGUAUCACGACAGCUUCCACGAGCCCGGCUAUGAGGAUGUCACCUAUCAGGUCAACAUAGAUGGCGUUCCUCCAAGCGUGAUGUUCAUCAACUGCGACCCGCCUCAGCCAAAGGCGGGUGAGAAAUGCACACUCAGCCUUUACCUUGGCGACUUCUGCCCCGAGCACGUCUCCGUCACCUGGUACAGGAACGGCCGGCCGGUGCACACCGGAGUCUUCCUCUCCCCCCCUGCGCUCGACGUCAGCGGCCUGUACUGCCUGUGGAGCUUCCUCCAGCCCACGCCCGCGGGGGAAGACCACGGCUCGGUCUUCCGGUGCCUGGUGGAGCACAGCGCUCAAACCGAACCGGAGGAGAGAGAGUACACGCUCAGCCUGUGCUCCUGAGAUUUCCCCUCGAUCAAAGACCGCACCAGGGGCUCCUGCUGUCACCCUCCUGCUGCGUGAGACCCCCCAACUCCAUUUGACUGGUCCCACCAUAGUGCCCGUGACAGAAGGUUAGAGAAAAGUGUAAACAUUUACAGACUCUUAAAAACUCUUUCUUUCCAUUGACAUAGGAUUUUGUAACAGUAGGGAUGCUUCUCACAGCGUGGAAAAUAAUCUCAGCCUCCCAGUUCCUGUACCAUAUGAACACCAGAUCCUUUAGUCCUUUCAAGACUACAUUAUAAAUUACUUCCCUGAGGAUUUUCACUGAAAAUUCUGGUACAUACCUUGUCAGUAGUUUGAUGAUGAUAAUAAUAAUAAUAAUAAUAAUAAUGUGUGGUGGCUAAUUGAUUGGAGUUUUGCAUUGCUUUUGAACCACACAUCAAACCAUGGUGUUCAUAUUGUUUCACAAUUGUGGUUCAAAAGUUUCAUUGGCAAAUGCUUCCAAAGUCAUUUCAUUGCAUCUCCGUAAAAGUUUUGGUUUUGUGUAUAUCCUGUACAACACAUGUGAGGUGUAUAUAUAUGAGGUAUAUAACCAUACUAUUUUAUGCAUGUCGAGUAUUUAGUAUAUACAUUUUAUAUUUUUUGUAAAAGGGUACUUUCUUAAUAAGAUGUUGUGUGAGCAAUUUCA